rnacentral:rRNA from 1 species
UACGUAGGGUGCGAGCGUUAAUCGGAAUUACUGGGCGUAAAGUGUGCGCAGGCGGCCGAGCAAGUCGAGUGUGAAAGCCCCGAGCUUAACUUGGGAACUGCGCUCGAAACUACUUGGCUAGAGUGUGGCAGAGGGAGGUGGAAUUCCACGUGUAGCGGUGAAAUGCGUAGAGAUGUGGAGGAACACCGAUGGCGGAGGCAGCCUCCUGGGCCAACACUGACGCUCAGGCACGAAAGCGUGGGGAGCAAACAGG